rnacentral:rRNA from 1 species
UACGUAGGUGGCAAGCGUUGUCCGGAUUUAUUGGGUUUAAAGGGUGCGUAGGCGGCUUUGUAAGUCAGUGGUGAAAUAUGGCAGCUCAACUGUCAAGGUGCCAUUGAUACUGCGGAGCUUGAGUACAGAUGAGGUAGGCGGAAUUGACGGUGUAGCGGUGAAAUGCUUAGAUAUCGUCAGGAACACCGAUAGCGAAGGCAGCUUACUAGGCUGUAACUGACGCUGAGGCACGAAAGUGUGGGGAUCAAACAGG